rnacentral:misc_RNA from 1 species
GCAAAAGCAUGAAACUUGAAGCUUAGAAAUAAUUGGAAUAGCGAAUCCCCUUGUUGAAUUGCAAACCAAGUUAACUAUAGGGUUUUUGCUCUUCUUUAAGAACAUUGGACUGUUAGAUAUUUGACCGAGAAAAGCAUAGUCAAUGGGACAGGUUGUUGAUUCUUUUGUGACAAACUCCUUCUAGAAAGAGCCUUCAGAAAUUUAUUUUAGAGUAGCAGUGAUUGGAAGUCUUCACUUUUUCUUUCCUUCACUUCAUGUAACAGCUGGC